UGAACGCUGGCGGCGUGCCUAAUACAUGCAAGUCGAGCGAACGGACGCGAAGCUUGCUUCUCUGAUGUUAGCGGCGGACGGGUGAGUAACACGUGGAUAACCUACCUAUAAGACUGGGAUAACUUCGGGAAACCGGAGCUAAUACCGGAUAAUAUUUUGAACCGCAUGGUUCAAAAGUGAAAGACGGUCUUGCUGUCACUUAUAGAUGGAUCCGCGCUGCAUUAGCUAGUUGGUAAGGUAACGGCUUACCGAGGCAACGAUGCAUAGCCGACCUGAGAGGGUGAUCGGCCACACUGGAACUGAGACACGGUCCAGACUCCUACGGGAGGCAGCAGUAGGGAAUCUUCCGCAAUGGGCGAAAGCCUGACGGAGCAACGCCGCGUGAGUGAUGAAGGUCUUCGGAUCGUAAAACUCUGUUAUUAGGGAAGAACAUAUGUGUAAGUAACUGUGCACAUCUUGACGGUACCUAAUCAGAAAGCCACGGCUAACUACGUG
rnacentral:rRNA from 1 species